CAAUGUGGAGGCUAUAUACAGGGGGUACCGGUACAGAGUCAAUGUGGAGGCUUUAUACAGGGGGUACCGGUACAGAGUCAAUGUGGAGGCUAUAUACAGGGGGUACCAGUACAGAGUCAAUGUGGAGGCUAUAUACAGGGGGUACCGGUACAGAGUCAAUGUGGAGGCUAUAUACAGGGGGUACCGGUACAGAGUCAAUGUGGAGGCUAUAUACAGGGUAUUACGGUACAGAGUCAAUGUGGAGGCUAUAUACAGGGGGUACCGGUACAGAGUCAAUGUGGAGGCUAUAUACAGGGGGUACCGGUACAGAGUCAAUGUGGAGGCUAUAUACAGGGUAUUACGGUACAGAGUCAAUGUGGAGGCUAUAUACAGGGGGUACCGGUACAGAGUCAAUGUGGAGGCUAUAUACAGGGUAUUACGGUACAGAGUCAAUGUGGAGGCUAUAUACAGGGUAUUACGGUACAGAGUCAAUGUGGAGGCUAUAUACAGGGGGUACCAGUACAGAGUCAAUGUGGAGGCUAUAUACAGGGGGUACCAGUACAGAGUCAAUGUGGAGGCUAUAUACAGGGGGUACCGGUACUGAGUCAAUGUGGAGGCUAUAUACAGGGGGUACCGGUACAGAGUCAAUGUGGAGGCUAUAUACAGGGGGUACCAGGACUGAGUCAAUGUGGAGGCUAUAUACAGGGUAUUACGGUACAGAGUCAAUGUGGAGGCUAUAUACAGGGGGUACCGGUACAGAGUCAAUGUGGAGGCUAUAUACAGGGUAUUACGGUACAGAGUCAAUGUGGAGGCUAUAUACAGGGGGUACCGGUACAGAGUCAAUGUGGAGGCUGUAUACAGGGGGUACCGGUACAGAGUCAAUGUGGAGGCUAUAUACAGGGGGUACCGGUACAGAGUCAAUGUGGAGGCUAUAUACAGGGGGUACCGGUACAGAGUCAAUGUGGAGGCUAUAUACAGGGGGUACCGGUACAGAGGCAAUGUGGAGGCUGUAUACAGGGGGUACCAGGACUGAGUCA
rnacentral:lncRNA from 1 species